rnacentral:rRNA from 1 species
GAGGAAUAUUGGUCAAUGGACGGAAGUCUGAACCAGCCAAGUAGCGUGCAGGAUGACGGCCCUAUGGGUUGUAAACUGCUUUUGUAUGGGGAUAAAGUUAGGGACGUGUCCCUAUUUGCAGGUACCAUACGAAUAAGGACCGGCUAAUUCCGUGCCAGCAGCCGCGGUAAUACGGAAGGUCCAGGCGUUAUCCGGAUUUAUUGGGUUUAAAGGGAGCGUAGGCUGGAGAUUAAGUGUGUUGUGAAAUGUAGACGCUCAACGUCUGAAUUGCAGCGCAUACUGGUUUCCUUGAGUACGCACAACGUUGGUGGAAUUCGUCGUGUAGCGGUGAAAUGCUUAGAUAUGACGAAGAACUCCGAUUGCGAAGGCAGCUGACGGGAGCGCAACUGACGCUUAAGCUCGAAGGUGCGGGUAUCAAACAGGAUUAGAUACCCUGGUAGUCCGCACAGUAAACGAUGGAUGCCCGCUGUUGGUACCUGGUAUCAGCGGCUAAGCGAAAGCAUUAAGCAUCCCACCUGGGGAGUACGCCGGCAACGGUG